rnacentral:rRNA from 1 species
GAGUUUGAUCUUGGCUCAGGACGAACGCUGGCGGCGUGCUUAACACAUGCAAGUCACGGGGGCCCGGUGGCAACAUCGGGCAACCGGCGAACGGGUGCGUAACACGUGAGCAAGCUACCGAUUUGUGGGGGAUAGCCGGCCCAACGGCCGGGUAAUACCGCAUACGUUCACUAGGCGGCAUCGUCUGGUGAGGAAACCUCCGGGGCAAAUCGAGGCGCUCGCGGCCUAUCAGCUAGUUGGCGGGGUAACGGCCACCAAGGCAUUGACGGUAGCUGGUCUGAGAGGAUGGCCAGCCACAUUGGGACUGCGACACGGCCCAGACUCCUACGGGAGGCAGCAGUGGGGAAUAUUGCGCAAUGGACGAAAGUCUGACGCAGCGACGCCGCGUGUGGGAUGACGCCUUUCGGGGUGUAAACCACUGUUGCCCGGGACGAAACUCCUUUUUCGAGAGGAUUGACGGUACCGGGUGAGGAAGCACCGGCUAACUCUGUGCCAGCCGCCGCCGUAAC